rnacentral:rRNA from 1 species
CCUACGGGAGGCAGCAGUAGGGAAUAUUGCUCAAUGGGGGAAACCCUGCAGCAGCAACGCCGCGUGGCGGAUGAAGGUUUUCGGAUUGUAAACUCCUUUUGUUAGUGAAGAUAAUGAAGGUAUCUAACCAAUAAGCCCCGGAGACCUCCGUGCCAGCAGCCGCGGUAAUACGGAGGUUGCAAGCGUUACUCGGAUACACUGAGCUUAAAGCUCGCGUAGGCGGGAUAGCAAGUCAGAUGUGAAAUUCUAUGGCUAAACCAUAGAACUGCAUUUGAAACUGUAAUUCUAGAGUAUUGGAGAGGUAAGUGGAAUUCUUGGUGUAGGGGUAAAAUCCGUAGAGAUCAAGAGGAAUACUCAUUGCGAAGGCGACCUGCUAGAACAUAACUGACGCUGAUGCGCGAAAGCGUGGGGAGCAAACAGGAUUAGAUACCCUGGUAGUC